rnacentral:rRNA from 1 species
GACGAACGCUGGCGGCGUGCUUAACACAUGCAAGUCGAACGGAAAGGCCCUGCUUUUGUGGGGUGCUCGAGUGGCGAACGGGUGAGUAACACGUGAGUAACCUGCCCUUGACUUUGGGAUAACUUCAGGAAACUGGGGCUAAUACCGGAUAGGAGCUCCUGCUGCAUGGUGGGGGUUGGAAAGUUUCGGCGGUUGGGGAUGGACUCGCGGCUUAUCAGCUUGUUGGUGGGGUAGUGGCUUACCAAGGCUUUGACGGGUAGCCGGCCUGAGAGGGUGACCGGCCACCAUGGGCCUGCGGUACGGCCCAGUCUCCUACGGGCGGCAGCAGUGGGGAAUAUUGCACAAUGGGCGGAAGUCUGUUGCAGCAACGCCGCGUGCGGGAUAACGGCCUUCGGGUUGUAAACCGCUUUCGCCUGUGCCGAAGCGUGAGUGACGGUAAUGGGUCAAGAAGCACCGGCUAACUACGUG